GACGAACGCUGGCGGCGUGCUUAACACAUGCAAGUCGAACGGAAAGGCCCUGCUUUUGUGGGGUGCUCGAGUGGCGAACGGGUGAGUAACACUUGAGUAACCUGCCCUUGACUUUUGGAUAACUUCAGGAAACUGGGUCUAAUACCGGAUAGGAGCUCCUGCUGCAUGGUGGUGGUUGGAAAGUUUCGGCGGUUGGGGAUGGACUCGCGGCUUAUCAGCUUGUUGGUGGGGUAGUGGCUUACCAAGGCUUUGACGGGUAGCCGGCAUGAGAGGGUGACCGGCCACAAUGGGACUGAGAUACGGCCCAGACUCCUACGGGAGGCAGCAGUGGGGAAUAUUGCACAAUGGGCGGAAGCCUGAUGCAGAAACGCAGCGUGCGGGAUGACGGCCUUCGGGUUGUAAACCGAUUUAGACUGUGACGAAGAGUGAGUGACGGUAAUGGGUAAAGAAGCACCGGCUAACUACGUG
rnacentral:rRNA from 1 species